ACGGCUCCGAAAGAAGCGUAGUAGUAGAAGAGACGGAACGGAAGAGGGGGCCAAAACUCCCCAUGGAUUUAAGCCGCCGAGCAGAGGCUGAGGCGAUGAGGUACUCUCCAAUGGCGAGGUCGAGCCCCUACUUCGUCCAAGGUCUUCCACCCCGACCCCUGCUCCCAACACCUGCGUGGAUGGAAGGAGUUCGUUGCGGACCAUGCCAUGCAGAUUGGACACUUAUUGGUGUUCCGACUUGACGGGUGCUCUUCCUUCUCAGUGUUGGUGUUCGAUGCAACUGCAUGCAAAAAGGAGGUGGCUUUCCUUGCUAGGCCUUACUGCGGAAAUGUGGCCACCAUCAAUCGGCUCCUGUCUCGCAAGGAGGCAGCUGUCGUUGAUAGGCCUCACCUGCAAGACAUUGAUACUGUCAUUCAUGUGAAUGUUGAUGAGAAGGAAGUCAAGGACUCAAAGACUUUGGUUUUGUCCCCAGUUGAUGUUACAGUAACCGAAAAAAGGAGGAAGACAAAAGCAUCAAUCGCCUUGCAAGUCAGGAACCUUUGUUGAAUGAGAUAUGCAUGGGUGCGAUGGUCUGAAAUUCAAAAGAUUGAAAACAAGCCCAGAUGACAAAGCAGCUGCCAAAUGUAGUCCUCAUUCUCAAGAUUCCACAAGACAAUCAAUAAGCAAGAAAUAUGUUGGUUGAUUAAAGCAAUUGGAUGAGCAUUCAGAAUGUUGGCGACUACCGAAGUCUGAUGAAGUUUGUCGACCCGGGGAAGAAAACUGUUUCUUUUCUGAAAAUGCAAACAUAAUCUUUUCUUCUGAAAAGGUGUGAUUCCUUUUAGUUACUUUAAUCUUGUUUGGUCAGUAUAACUUAAGUUAAUUCCAAGGCCUUGCCAUCUCUAUGUCUUCUAGUUGUGGCAAAGGUGCAAAGAAUGCCAGCUCUUAUCUUGCAACGGCAGCCUGUCACAAAAGAGGAAGUGGAAAGUGCUCUUCACAAGGCAUAAUUAUUCAAAUCAAAGAAUCCAAUUUUCCAUACAGUCACGUAUGACAUAUGUUUACACAGGCAGGCCUUUUUAUGGCAAGCAUAUGGUUGUCUAUUUAUCAUGUCAAUAAUAACUUCUUGUUACCUUGUACUCAAAUAAACAUUUUUGUGUUUCCAUUAUCCAACUUCCUAAAAGAUUAAAUCAUGUUUCUAAUGAAUAAUUUGAGAAGAAUUUUCUGCCGUCUGCAUUCCAGCUUUACUUCCCAACUUCAUCUGUCUAUAUGUUUAGUUCCUGUAAUAUUGUAAAUCUGUUCCUUCUAUUCGUCUGCUAUUACUACUGCCAUAUGAUUGCCAGCAGAAUAUAUUGUUGAAUAAUCAAACAUAUUGCAGAGAUAUUGAAAGCGUUUUGCAUUUCAGUAUCACCUAUCUGCAUAUUAGUUGUAGAUGAUACAACAUACAUGCAUAGUCACCAAUUCCUAUAUAUAUAUAUAUAUGUGUGUGUGUGUGUGUGUGUGUGUAUAUAUAUAUAUAUAUAUAUAUAUAUAUAUAUAUAUAUGUUGUGAGGUGUAUGGAAAAGUGGUUCUUUGUCCUUUAUUUUCUUAAUUAAAGUGGAUUUAAUAGCAAAACUAUGAGCAGGAUUUUUCACACAGACAUUUAUGAAGAGUGGAGAAAGUACUAGUCGUUGUAUGAAUUUGGAGCAGAAUCUGACAAAGAAAGCCUUUGUUAGAUGCAUAUCUUGUGAAAAUGUCAUCCUUUGGAUAUUUAAUGACAAAAUAUAUGUAUAAUACAAGCUUAAAAUGUCAUUCUAUGGAUAAUUAAUGAAAAAAUGUGUGUAUAAUGUAGCCCUGUUCUGAAGAACUUUGCAGUUUAAUUUUUUUAGACUGCUAUGAUGCUUGUUGCCAUGAUAGUUUCUGAAUAUCUGGUCCUCAGCUGGUUUAUUUGUUGAAAUAGGCCUUGAUAGUUAAAACACUCUGUUACAUUUGUACUAAUGUUUUUUUUUUUUCCAAUUGAAUCUUUAUAAUACAAAAUUUAGCUGGAUUUCAAAAUUCUUCAGCUUCAUUCACUUGAGAAGCAUGUGCUUUUCCUAUUUCAGAAUCAUAUUAUUAUAAUCUAUUCACAAGCAUUUUGUUGCAAGUUUAAGAAGGCCCCUCCUAUGUGGUUCUGUUCAUUCCGUUCAAAUCUUGACUUUGUUGAAGUGGUAUACAGAAUGUUCCUUCCUCUUUUGCAAGACUUCACCCUCCAAAGAUCUCUCAAAGGAUUACUCUCUGGGAUGAAAAUGGGAAGCCAUGGCAGGUGACCUAUGUAUAUUGCAGCUAUCGUGGCUGCCUAGGCGGUGGUUGGCGAGCCUUCUCGUUUGCUCAUAAUAUAGAGAAGUAUGAUGUCUGCAUCUUUGAACUGAUUAAGAGAAUUCAUCUGAAGGUCCAUAUCUUUCAGAGUUGUAAAUGAAAUAACACCAUUGAUUGGUAAUUGUAAAAGGUAAAACUUAAAAUUCUAUUGCUUUCUUUUUCUUUUUCUCUAUCAAUGGACAAUAAGUAUGUAGCU